rnacentral:rRNA from 1 species
AAUAAGUUCCUCCCGAGCGACGUAAAGAAUGUUGUAAAUUAGAGAUGCAAGCCAGUACUUUUAGUAAUUGUAGAUAUUUUCUGAUCGCACUAGUUGUGACGCACCGUUCAAAUUUCUGGCCUAUCAACUUUUGAUGGUAAGGUAUUGGGUUACCAUGUUUCUGAUGGGUAAUGGAUAAUAGGUGCGGUAUCUCGGAGAGGCAGCCUCAGAAAUGUCUACCACAUCCAAGGAAGACAGCACGCGCACAACGUACCCAAUCUGGACACCGGGGGGUAGUCACAAGAAAUAUCAAUAGAAGGCCCCGUGGGUUUUCUAGUUGGAAUGAGGAAAAGGUAAAGAGCUUAUCGAGGAACCAGCACAGGGCGAGUCUUAUGCCAGCAGCCGCGGUAAUUCCACAUCUGUAGGCGUAUACCAAAGUUGUUGCAGUUAAAACGCUCAUAGUCGGAUACUGGCGUGUGACCUUGGUCGUUCUUGUGUGCGUUUUAAGGUUGUGCGACUCUGUAGAGGGUGGUAUAAUGGUGCUGAAUUGGAUUUCCAGGCUGCUGGCACUAUUUACUAUGAAACACUUAGAAUGUUCAAAGCAGGCGAUUGCCCCGAUUACAUUAGUAUGGAAUAAUAGAAUAGGACCUGGUCCUGUUUUGUUGGUUUGUUUGAGUCGUGGAUUGGUUAAAAAGAGCGGUUGAGGGCAUUCGUGUUCCGACGCUGGAGGUGAAAUUCUUGGAUUUUCGGAAGAUGAACAGCUGCAAAAGCCACUACCAAGGACGUUUUCAUUGAUCAACAACGAACGCAAAGGGCUCGGAGACCAGCAGAUACCGUUUUAGUUUUUGCUCUAAGCAAUGAGGACUGGAGAUGAGAUGAGACUGACUUAUGGCUCACCCGGCAUCCUUCAAUAAAACAAAGUGUUUGAUCUCUGGGAGGAGUAUGGUUGUAAGGCUGAAAAUUAAGGGAAUUCACGAAAGGGCACCGCUGGGUGUGGAACCUGGGGCUUAGUUUACCUCAACACGGGAAAUUCGCAAAUACAGUGCAGGCUACUAAAAAGACUUGCCUCUCUUCUUUCAGAUAUGAACGGGCGAGAGCUUGGCUUUUAUUGACUUUGGCUCUUUGCCGAGAUCGUCAGAUGGCUAUUUUCAUCCCUUUGUAAGAACUGUCGGGCCAUGCACGCCAUUCAUGCACGUUCACGUGGACAGCCUCGACAAGUAGCCUCGCGAAACGACGCCAUGAGCAGCUAUAUCUACAGGCUGACUCCUGCUUCUUCCCUCACACACAUCCCGCCUUGCUCUCACACACAUCGCGCCUAGAUCUCACACAUAUCCAGCCUUGUUCUCACUCAUACCCAACCGUGCUAUGAGUUGGCUCUCCGCGCCUGUUUCUUCAACAAACGCUGAUGCAUUGUCUUUCCCGUGCGCCCAACCACCGCGUUUUGCGCCAAGUGCACAUCCAAUCACGGUGCAUGGCUUGGCUUGCACAUUUGCUUCUUAGUGCCUUCCUCUUCUGAGAAUCUGAUUCUCGUCUUCUUGUUCUUCACGUUUUCUCUCUUAUUUCUCUUUC